rnacentral:rRNA from 1 species
UACGUAGGGUGCAAGCGUUGUCCGGAAUUAUUGGGCGUAAAGAGCUCGUAGGCGGUUUGUCGCGUCUGCUGUGAAAACGCGAGGCUCAACCUCGCGCCUGCAGUGGGUACGGGCAGACUAGAGUGCGGUAGGGGAGAUUGGAAUUCCUGGUGUAGCGGUGGAAUGCGCAGAUAUCAGGAGGAACACCGGUGGCGAAGGCGGGUCUCUGGGCCGAUACCGACGCUGAGGAGCGAAAGCGUGGGGAGCGAACAGG